UGCAACAUUUGUAAGUUCUCUAAUUGACCAUGUCAUGGAGGAGUGUGAACGCCUGGACCCAGCCUUUGCUGAUACGUGCAAGUCCUACAUCUCCCAGUAUUCAGAUUUGGCUAUUCAGAUGAUGAUGCAUAUGCAGGAACAGCAACCACAGGUUAUUUGGCAGAUGGUGGAUUCUGUUCUCUG